UGGGCUGAACGAGAGUUCCAGGUCCACCAAAGCGGCGGGGAGACUCCUC
rnacentral:sRNA from 12 species